GGCACUGCCUGCCCAGUGACAAUCGUUAAACGGCCGCGGUAUCUUGACCGUGCAAAGGUAGCAUAAUCACUUGUUCUCUAAAUAAGGACUUGUAUGAAUGGCCACACGAGGGUUUUACUGUCUCUUACUCUUAAUCAGUGAAAUUGACCUCCCCGUGAAGAGGCGGGGAUAACACAAUAAGACGAGAAGACCCUAUGGAGCUUUAAUUAAUCAACUCAAAAAGCAUAAAAUAAUACCACCAAGGGAUAACAAAGCUUUAUAUGAGUUGACAAUUUCGGUUGGGGUGACCUCGGAGUAUAAAAAACCCUCCGAGUGAUUAAAACUUAGGCCUACCAGCCAAAGUAUAGUAUCACUUAUUGAUCCAAAAUUUUGAUCAACGGAACAAGUUACCCUAGGGAUAACAGCGCAAUCCUAUUCUAGAGUCCAUAUCGACAAUAGGGUUUACGACCUCGAUGUUGGAUCAGGACAUCCUAAUGGUGCAGCAGCUAUUAAGGGUUCGUUUGUU
rnacentral:rRNA from 1 species